UGGGGAAUAUUGGACAAUGGGGGCAACCCUGAUCCAGCGACGCCGCGUGUGUGAAGAAGGCCUGCGGGUUGUAAAGCACUUUUAGUGGGGAUGAAAAGCUCGGGGUUAAUACCUCCGGGUCUUGACCUAACCCAAAGAAAAAGCACCGGCUAACUCUGUGCCAGCAGCCGCGGUAAUACAGAGGGUGCAAGCGUUAAUCGGAAUUACUGGGCGUAAAGCGUGCGUAGAUGGUUAUGUAAGUCGGAUGUGAAAGCCCAGGGCUCAACCUUGGAAUUGCAUUCGAGACUGCAUAGCUAGGAUGCGGAAGAGGGAAGCGGAAUUUCCGGUGUAGCGGUGAAAUGCGUAGAUAUCGGAAGGAACACCAGUGGCGAAAGCGGCUUCCUGGUCCAGCAUCGACGUUCAGGCACGAAAGCGUGGGGAGCAAACAGGAUUAGAUACCCUGGUAGUCCACGCCAUAAACGAUGACAACUAGACGUUGAGAGGGUAAGCCUCCCAGUGUCGCAGCUAACGCGUU
rnacentral:rRNA from 1 species